UUAAGCUGUGAACUGGAAUUCCACCAGGCUCUCUACUGUGAAGCCCUGUGGCUUUAGCAAAGAGGCAGCAGUGGUCAGAAACGACGCUCAAAAGCAAAUAACAAGUAAUUCAUAGCAGACUUCCAGCUCCUGUGAAAGAGAGAAGAUGCUUUUGCCUCACACAACCUUUGCAUCUAAGGAACUAUCUCUUUAUCUAUUGCCUGUUUGCUGCGGGGAGCUGCUGAGAGACCUGCAGGCAUACCUCGCAGAUCUGGUGACGGGAAAGACUGACAUGAAACACUCUCAGCUCUUCUGCACCUGGGCAUUGCAAAAAGAGGCUGCAGGGAGCUUCCGUUUGAUCGUAAUGUAAAUGUGUGACUACAGUAGAAUUAGAAGGAUCCCUGAAGUGUUUUCCUUCACAUGCAUAGAAGUCCCUGAAGUAUACCCAAAGGACCACACCCGAGGAGAUCUAAGCUCAAAACCAUUGUUCUGGUCCUCAACAGACCACCCAAUGUGACUGCACUUGAUUCCUCCACCCACAAGACAUAAUGCAAGACAUCCAAAGACACAACCAUGGUAUGACAAAAUAUAGACGGAAAUGGUAUCUUGGAUCUGGGUCACCAAGUUAUCAGCCAAUCUCUGACUGAAGGUGCCAUGGGCUGAUGUAGCUUGGAACCUUAUGUGCUUGAUUCAAGACAAAGAGUUUAAAAAGGUCUCAGCUGGGUGAGUUGGAUACUGCUUGCAGCACUGCAGUCCUCAAUGUUAUAACUUUUGCAGUACUCACAAACUUUUUCAGUGAGCCCUUGGCUGCCUUUUGUCACCCAGCAGUGUCCUGGACUGCUUGCUCUGCCAGGGAAAACAGUUUUCCUCUGUGAAGGGCUCAACCUCAUUGCAGCAGAGAGCACUAGUCCAAACCCCACUUUUCCUGCUCUGUCCUCAAAAGGAAUCUGCAGAAGCUUUGACUUGCAGUGUGUGAUGGCUGUGGCAUUUCCUCCGCUAUGGCUCAGCCCGGGCAGGGAGGGAGGGAGAGCGAUAAUCCUCUGUGUGCUGGCAUUUAGCACCUGGCUGACAGUGUACACUGUGCACCGGGUGAUCAGUGCCGGGAACAGGACUACACUGCUCCGAAACUUUGCCCUAAGUGAAAUGAAACAUCACUAUAAAUUAGGAGAGAGUCUUAGAGUGUCGGUUGAUGUGUAUUUGAAUAAGGGUUGGCCAAUCCUCGGUGCUGCAACUGGUACUCCUGGUAUUGUAAUUUGUCCUGGGUCCUGGUCCAAGGCCCUGGUGAACCAGAAUUAGUGCUCCAACAUCCAGCACCUCAUUGCAUGGCCAUGGCACAACCCCUGGGGGACAAACUGCUCUGUUCUGCCAACUUUUAGGGGGACCUGGACUCCAAUCCCAACUCAGGCACUGAAUGCACCACCCGGUGCCAGCCUUCCCUGGGCAAACAUUAUCUCCUGCAUUGCUGAAGGGCACUGCACAAUGUUUCCCAAAUCUUAUUAAUGAAGGAAGCAGUUUCCCUCAGACCUUCUGCAAUAAAUGGUGUUUUACCAGGCAGCUGAAAACUUACUUUGUCCUCUUGUGUUAAAGCAGUGAUUCGGGGUUUUGAAUAUCUUUAAUUGGUAUGUGGUAAUUUGGAAGAGACUUGAGUAGGACAUUUCCGUUUUUUUGUUAUUCUAGUGCUUGAAAUGAAGAAAAUUUCUGUUUUCUCAAGUGAAGUGCAUGGGGAAGGGUAGCCAAGAGCUCAGGCUGUGGGCGACGGGACAGCAGGGACCAGCAGUAUGUUCAACAAAAGUAUAUACUAAUAUAGAACACAAGGGAGGGAUUUUUCUCCUUUUCUGCACCCACUUUAUUUUUCAUCAACAGAAGCUGCCUUUGAAAGACAAGAGUAGUAUUUUUUGAACAGACUCCAUUUUCCCUACAAAACCUCAAUGUUACAGAUGGUUGGAGACUGUCAGAAUAUGAAGAAAUACCAGGAAACAAAUAUCUAGGACACCCCAAUGAGUCAUUAGUCCAUCACUGACCUCCUGAUCUUUUAACAAGACUUAUUGAUUCAAGGAGAGCCUAGAAAGUUUAGCCUAGAUGGGGCUUUUCAUGCACACACAUGCAUGUGCACACACAUGUUUAAUGGUGCCUGAAGUCCAGAAACCCAACAAUGUCUGGAGGCUGGAACCAAGACCUAAUCACCACCUACCCCAAAGCCAUUCCUGUUGUGCUGUGGUAGUUCAUUCAAUCAGUGUGCUUUUAAUCUGCCAAUACCAACCCAUGUCUUCUCAGGACCUACUGUUCUGACAACCUCCUGUCUUCCCCUCUGCUUGGUCAUCUGCACUGGCUCGAUACGUUAACCUCUCUUUUUGCUUGAUCUGUGCCAGUGGCGCUUGCACAACAAAUCGUCAUGUGGUUUGCAGAAUGAAUUCCCUAAUGAUGCUCUCAUUAAUAGUUCUUGCUGCCAAAUGCUGUUUGCUUUUACUUUCAGAACUGUCUGCAUUAAUAAUGAGUACCUCCACUUGGAAAUUAUUUACAUGAAGUAUUGCGGUCACGUCACCACCACAGACAGCAGCUCCAGACUAGGAGAUAUUUCACACAGGGAACCGUAUGGGAGGGCACGAUGACACGAGGCAAGACCAGUAGCAGUGACCAGCAAAAGCAAAUUCCAGACAGCAGUACUCUCUGCAGGAUGCUUCUACAGAGAGCUGUGAAUUUCUGUACCGUCCUGGCUACCCUGCCCAAAACAAUAGGUGCUUGAGUAGUUCGCAGCAAAAAAGUCUUGGGAACAGCAGAACUAUUUCUUGUGAUAAAGGCUUGCUGCUUGGUUUGGAAAGAUGAGCUUGUCAGCAACGUUGCUGCACUCAGGCUGAACCUGUGGGAAGUGUGCCUGUUCCUAAUAAAUGUUGUGUGUAUUUAUGUGGCAGACAUUGUGCUUUGCAAGGAGAGAGUCACAGAAAUAAUUAGUUAAGAGCGUGAGGUUUUUGGCACAGAUUCCCUUUCUCAAGUAGCUGUGAUGUUCAUAUAUAAGAAAAAUUGAUUUGGCAUCUAGACAGGAUUUCAGCACGCUCAUGGUUAUGGAAAUCAGCUAUGGGCAUAGAGGAAAUCUGUAUAUUGAUUCAUAAACUGACUUGAUGACUUGUUCAUGCUUUAAUAUUUUCAUGGGCUUUUACCCAAAAUAAAAAUGUCAGUAAGUACCACUUGACUGUGCUACAGCACCAUCUAAAAUGGUGGGAAGAAAAGGAAUUUCCUAUUAGGCAGAAGCCUUCCCUGUCUAUGCUAAUUAUUUUAUUCCUUAAAGCAUAGCUUUUCGUCAUUGCCCUUGCUAAUUGCAUUAAUGUGCGCACCUAUAUAGCAUCCAGAGAAAAAUGGUUUCUUAUAAAAGACCCUCAGUUUCAUGGACACUUUUUCUUUCGCAAGAGUUCAGGAAAGCCAGUCCGCCUUCUACUCGUACAACGAGGUGCUGAUACUGCUAGAACUGCCCUGACUGCCUAUAUGUAAUAGUACAAAAAUAGCUUUGCUUUGGGAUCAUGUAGUAGGGCAAAAGCAAGAAUGACUUGCUGACUCUUAUUUUUUUGGGCAGACUGGUUAGGGGGUGUUUACUCAGCAUCAAACUGAUCCAAGGCUGCCUCACAAAAAACGUGUACUAAUACACUGACUCCUUGCGAACAUGUUUUUUCUGCAGGUUUAAAAUCUUAAUCCCCGAAUAAUAUCUCUGCCUGCCUCGUGGUUUUCUUUGGAGAGCUUCCAGCUCUGACCAAUCUUGACCCUAUUUGACUUAAGGUAUGUGGGCUUGGAAUGGAAGCAGUACGGCUGCUGGCCAUUAUUAAAAUGAGCGGAAACUAUGUCAUCCAUAAUAUCAGCUAAGAUCCAGUGUGAUAACAAUAUGUGACCAAAUACUGAUCUCAUUUGCAACAGUACGCUUCCGUUGUGACUUCAGAAGAAAUCAAUGGGUGUAAUGUAAGAUGAGUCACAACGCAUAUAUUGUGCCACAGCAGAAUAGAGUUUUCUCUAUAAAUAAUGUCUCUUUUUGGCAAGACACAGGGAAAAAAGCCUGAAAAUCUACACUAUAUUGAACUGCACAGUUCAGGAAAGAGGCCCUAUACAUAACAGUACAUUUUUGAGUGUGUAGGUUGUUCCUACUGGACUUAAUCUUCCCUUAAGACAGAUGGCUACUCAUUUUCACAGAAUUUCUGCAAGUCUUUUCCAUGAUUGGAGUGUAGGAUUAAAAGAUCUCUGCGACCUCCUUUGAAACUACUGUGCUUGGACACCACCUUACAUAAUGAAAGCACUCACAGAGAAUCCAGGGAGAUAUUUCAUGAUGUCUUAAGGCGGACUGUUAGAAACAUGGAGAAACAUUCGUAUCUUCAGGAAGAGACAAGAAAGCCAUUUUGUCAUUUGGUGGUUGGCUUCAUGCUGCUUAUUAGUCCUCCAAACUUAUGGCUAGUGGGUAAUUUAAACGUAGUUUGAAGGCAGAUUCUUUUUCCUUCAACUGCGGUUUUAAGAAAGAUCCCUCAAAAUUAAUUGACUGACAAACUGUAUAGUUGAUGCUGUCUAUAUGGUGUGCACCAGCCAAAACGGAUGGGUAGCAAGAGCACUGGCAUCUUGGUAGAGGCUGCUCUGAACCCUUCAGAGAACCUCUGCUUGCCCUCUCUUUAUGCUCUUGGGUAGGAGAGGGCAUGUUUAGUUUUCUGCUUACUCAAUUCCCUUUUGUACUUGUUCAUUUGCUAGGUGGGUAAAGGAGAGGAGGUCACUUGUGCACAUGGGAUAAAGAGGUAUUAUGAAUUCUAAAGUGUUUGCUUUAUUGGGAAAAGCAGAGCGAGCAGAAUAGCGCAGUAACAUAAUGUGUGAAUUUUUAAUGAAUUCUGUGCCAAGUGUUUGUGUAUUUUUUUUUCCUACCUGUAGCAGUUUUAUUCAUUUGGGAGAGUACUGUGUACAAGAUAUUCUUUAGUAGUAUGCUGGCUGCUGUUUAGUUUUAAUAAAUUAAAUCCUUUAUAUCAAUGUAAUAUUCUUUAGACAAGCACUUCCAAGGCAGAUUAGAAAUGAACUUAAGGGGAUUAAAAGCUUCUCUUGCUAAAAACAAUGUUUCAGAUGAGAAAUCCACUUAUUUAUGUCACUUUCAGUGGACUAUAUUUGUCUUUAAUAUGUUGCUACUGCUAAAGAAAGCAGUGCUUUGCCCAUGACUGCAGCCUUUCUGCUCUGCUCUACAUCCACAGUGAUGUUUAUUUUCUUCAGUACAGUAAGUCGCUUUGGGAAAGAUUGAUGCUUUCCCAUAAAACUGUGAGCAACCAUUUUCUUUCUUGUUUAGAGAAAACAACAGAUUUAAUGACUCUUGUAUAUUAAGUAGCGUCAGUCUUAUUGUAAAAUAGGAAACCGAAAGGAAGGUAUGAGCAGAGAGAAAAAUCCGCUUUGAUUUUUUUUCCUUGCUGCAUUGUAGCAGGCUGAAAACAUCAAUUGGAAGGUUAUCUGUGAAAUCCUGGACAUCUUGGGAGCAGCCUGGUUUAGCUGGUGUGAGCUCAGGUCUGUGCAGCAGACUGAGGGGGAGGCACUGUCUCACAAGCUGUUUCCUCUAACUAGUACCAGACUACCUGUUUCUCUAUUAAAUGCUUGUCCUAGUACAUGGUUCGAUGGUAUGUCAAUCCCAGUGGUGGUGCCUCUGAUACCAACCCAAAAUCUCUUGAACACACCAUGUAGAGAUCUGAUUUGGUGUAUGACCGCUCUGCAGGUAUAAAAAUUGCUGUCGGGCAGCCUAUAUGAGAGAUCAGAUGCUGUCUGUCCAUGCUGCACUAGCUGUCUACUGCUCCUCAGCAGAGUUCCAUCCAGCAUAAACUGAGUGCUUUGGUCAACCCAGCAACUUUGUAGCCAUACCCCUCUCCAGAGCCCCAUCACGUUUGUCCUGCUGGAUGUGUGGUCCUACAAAGAUGGCUAUGAACAUAAUGGGAUGCCUGUUAAUUCUGGGCUCUUGUAGGAGCUGCCCAUUAAACACUGAGUCACACAAUACUGACCUGGAAAUGGCUGGCUGCCCCCUGAUGCCCUCACACCAUGAAGUUUCAACAGGGCAGGACCCAUCCCUGUGGGGUAAGUGAAGAGGAUCUCAUAGAGGAGGAACAAUGAGGAGGUUGAAUAUUCUGAGUAUUCAGACAAUUUUAAGACCAUAUCAGAUCUCUCUAAGAGACAAUCCAGCACACCGAUAUUACUCGUGUUUGCCAAUCUGAACUUCCCGUUCAUCUCCCAGACUACAAAACUUGCACAGUUCUAGAGUUUACUUCCCACAGCUGCUGGAUGUGACGAGGUCAGAGAAGGCACUAGGACAUAGGCUGAUCUCCCAGUAGGAUGAAAGAAGGAAGGCCUUCCUUUGAGGCACCUCACAAAGCAUCCAGGAAACGAAGGAGACUGAGGAGCCUUUGAGGACAAGUUUGGGCUACAGUGAGGACAGAAUAAAUGAUCAGAGUAAAAUGAAAACCAGAAAAAAUAUGAAAAAUUAAUGUUUUAUUUGGAAUGAGGCCUUUCAGUCUAUUUAUUAUUGCUGUUUGCACAUGAAGCCACAGUGCUUGCUCCUUACAUUACAGCACCAAGAGCUCAGAUAUUGUUUGAGGAUCUAUUAUCAUUCAAUUGCAUUGCAGAUAACUUGGGCAGAGGAAGAGGUUUAAAUCCAUAGCAGAUAAGGUUUGUCUUGGUAACUGUGCCCUUGGAACAGUGCUGGAUUUUGUUAUUUUAAGCACAACUUUCCCCUCCCUCCAUCACUAUUUAAAACAGUUUCAGAAUAAUUUCUAUUGCAUCAUGUUUCAUUAUACAGUAAAGCAUUAUUUAUUUAAAUGCCUUCCAAAGUAAUUAAUUUCCUUGUACCUGGUUAAAACAAGAUCAUUUCCCUUAAUGCUUUCGAGCCAUCGAUACUCCAGGAUCCACUGUCCAGUUUUGAUCAGUCUCAAACACUGUUGGUGCCCCUUCCCACCCCAGAAGCUGAUGCUGAGAUUGAAUUGUAGUGCAUCUGAUAAAGUAAGGGAUACGUUGUCAAAGCAAAGCUCAAGGAUUGAGUUGCAUGACUCCCUGAUAUUUAAAAGGGCCCUACACUGAGGCUUUGUAUUAACCUUGUAUUCCUAGGAUUGUUUGAGUGAGUCUAAGAUGGCAAGCAGAAAUUAAACCACCAUCUUUAAUUUUAAUUAUUUUCUUCUGUUUUGUUUUCUGAAGCCAGAUUUCACUCCUUUCCUCUAACCACAUUUUUCACUAGUCAUAGCUUUUCUCAGACGCCCAAAUCCUUGUAUAUUGCUUAUGAUAACAAGAGCUGACUGAAAUUUCACCACUUAUUUUGGAGUGGAAAACGUGGAUUCAUUUUCUCCAUAAUAAUGAUGGGCUCUUCUGUCAGUGUAGCCACUGGUCACAACACCUGGGGAUAAAAUUGAUCUGCAUUGCUACAUGGAUUAUCCGAAAAAGAAAAAAACCCCUAUCAUUCAAGAAAAAAAAAGAUAUAAUUAGGAUCAUGAAUUUCACUGGGAAAUGUGGUGUAAAAUACUUCUCAUUUUAAAUUAAGCUUUCAAUGGCAAGUGCUUGGCUUUCAACAACUCCUCUGAAACUCUUUUAAUUGAAGUUCCAUGAAAAUCUGAGGAGUUCAGUUCAAGUUCAGCUCCCCAAACCAUCCUGAUUUCAUUAAAUAUCUGAUCUUUCUUUAUUUGCCAAUAAAAUGUGUGUGUGUGUGUGUAAAUCAAUAUCCGCUAUAUAACUGGUUUUUUUUUUUUUUAAAGGAACAGUUUUCUUUUCUUUAUGAAGGAUGAACUCUGCUCUGUGCAUACAAUGACAGAUAAAGGGAACAAUCCGUGGGAGACGCUUCCCACUCCCAGGUUGGGAUUUGGAGCACAGGGCACACUUAUUGCUGCCCUCAUCUGACUCGUGUUCUGCAUCGGUAGUGGCAAUCUCAUG